rnacentral:rRNA from 1 species
UACGUAGGUGGCAAGCGUUGUCCGGAUUUACUGGGCGUAAAGGGAGCGUAGGCGGACUUUUAAGUGAGAUGUGAAAUACUCGGGCUCAACUUGAGUGCUGCAUUUCAAACUGGAAGUCUAGAGUGCAGGAGAGGAGAAUGGAAUUCCUAGUGUAGCGGUGAAAUGCGUAGAGAUUAGGAAGAACACCAGUGGCGAAGGCGAUUCUCUGGACUGUAACUGACGCUGAGGCUCGAAGGCGUGGGGAGCAAACAGG